rnacentral:rRNA from 1 species
GACGAACGCUGGCGGCGUGCUUAACACAUGCAAGUCGAACGGAAAGGCCCUGCUUGCAGGGUACUCGAGUGGCGAACGGGUGAGUAACACGUGGGUGAUCUGCCCUGCACUUCGGGAUAAGCCUGGGAAACUGGGUCUAAUACCGGAUAGGAGCCAUUUUUAGUGUGAUGGUUGGAAAGUUUUUUCGGUGUAGGAUGAGCUCGCGGCCUAUCAGCUUGUUGGUGGGGUAAUGGCCUACCAAGGCGGCGACGGGUAGCCGGCCUGGGAGGGUGGACGGCCACAUUGGGACUGAGAUACGGCCCAGACUCCUACGGGAGGCAGCAGUGGGGAAGAUUGAACAAUGGGCGCAAGCCUGAUGCAGCGAGGCCGCGUGGGGGAUGACGGCCUUCGGGUUGUAAACUCCUUUCGCUAGGGACGAAGCUUUUUGUGACGGUACCUAGAUAAGAAGCACCGGCUAACUACGUG